GAUCCUGGCUCGGGAUGAACGCUAGCUACAGGCUUAACACAUGCAAGUCGAGGGGCAGCACGAUUGAAGCUUGCUUCAAUCGAUGGCGACCGGCGCACGGGUGAGUAACACGUAUCCAACCUGCCGAUAACUCGAGGAUAGCCUUUCGAAAGAAAGAUUAAUACCCGAUAGCAUAGUAUUUCCGCAUGGUUUCACUAUUAAAGAACUUCGGUUAUCGAUGGGGAUGCGUUCCAUUAGAUAG
rnacentral:rRNA from 1 species